rnacentral:rRNA from 1 species
CCUACGGGAGGCAGCAGUAGGGAAUCUUCCGCAAUGGACGAAAGUCUGACGGAGCAACGCCGCGUGAACGAUGAAGGCCUUCGGGUCGUAAAGUUCUGUUGUUAGGGAAGAACAAGUGCUAGUUAAAUAAGCUGGCACCUUGACGGUACCUAACCAGAAAGCCACGGCUAACUACGUGCCAGCAGCCGCGGUAAUACGUAGGUGGCAAGCGUUGUCCGGAAUUAUUGGGCGUAAAGCGCGCGCAGGCGGUUUCUUAAGUCUGAUGUGAAAGCCCCCGGCUCAACCGGGGAGGGUCAUUGGAAACUGGGAAACUUGAGUGCAGAAGAGGAAAGUGGAAUUCCAAGUGUAGCGGUGAAAUGCGUAGAGAUUUGGAGGAACACCAGUGGCGAAGGCGACUUUCUGGUCUGUAACUGACGCUGAGGCGCGAAAGCGUGGGGAGCAAACAGGAUUAGAUACCCUGGUAGUCCACGCUGUAAACGAUGAGUGCUAAGUGUUAGAGGGUUUCCGCCCUUUAGUGCUGAAGUUAACGCAUAAUAGACNCNCCGCGGUGGAGGUACGGCGACGAGAGAAGUAAAUUAAGUAAGUUAGUUAGUACGUUGNGAGNGCGACGACGACGACGAGGAGGAGGAG